GAAAUGCGAUAAGUAGUGUGAAUUGCAGAUUUCAGUGAAUCAUCGAAUCUUUGAACGCACAUUGCGCCCCUUGGUAUUCCUUGGAGCAUGCCUGUUUGAGUAUCAUGAAAUCUUCAAAGUAAAUCUUUUGUUAACUCAAUUGGUUUCUACUUUGGUAUUGGAGGUCUUUGCAGCUUCACACCUGCUCCUCUUUGUUCAUUAGCUGGAUCUCAGUGUUAUGCUUGGUUCCACUCGGCGUGAUAAGUUAUCUAUCGCUGAGGACACUGUAAAAGGUGGCCAAGGUAAAUGCAGAUGAACCGCUUCUAAUAGUCCAUUGACUUGGACAAUACUUUUAUGAUCUGAUCUCAAAUCAGGUAGGACUACCCGCUGAACUUAAGC
rnacentral:misc_RNA from 1 species